CCUACGUGAGGCAGCAGUGAGGAAUAUUGGGCAAUGGGCGUAAGCCUGAACCAGCCAAGUCGCGUGAGGGAUGAAGGUUCUAUGGAUCGUAAACCUCUUUUAUAAGGGAAUAAAGUGCGGGACGUGUCCCGUUUUGUAUGUACCUUAUGAAUAAGGAUCGGCUAACGCCGUGCCAGCAGCCGCGGUAAUACGGAGGAUCCGAGCGGUAUCCGGAUUUAGUGGGUUUAAAGGUUGCGUAGGCGGCCUUUUAAGUCAGCGGGGAAAGUCUGUGGCUCAACCAUAGAAUUGCCGUUGAAACUGGGAGUCUUGAGUAUGUUUGAGGCAGGCGGAAUGCGUGGUGUAGCGGUGAAAUGCUUAGAUAUCACGCAGAACCCCGAUUGCGAAGGCAGCCUGCCAAGCCAUGACUGACGCUGAUGCACGAAAGCGUGGGGAUCAAACAGGAUUAGAUACCCCAGUAGUC
rnacentral:rRNA from 1 species